UCCGGAGGGAGCGAGCGUUGUCCGAAGUUACUGGGCGUACAGCGCGCGUAGGCGGGUACUUAAGUGAGCAGUGAAAGGCUGGGGCUCAACCCCAUGCAGUGCUCCUCAUACUGGUUUUCUUGGGGGUGGUAGAGAGAAGUGGAAUGGCUGGUGUAGCGGUGAAAUGCGUAGAUAUCAGUCGGAACACCAGUGGCGAAGGCGGCUUCUUGGGCCAUUACUGACGCUGAGGCGCGAAAGCCAGGGGAGCGAACGGG
rnacentral:rRNA from 1 species